rnacentral:rRNA from 1 species
AAGGGGAGUGAAAUAGAACCUGAAACCGUGUGCUUACAAGUAGUCAGAGCCCGUUAAUGGGUGAUGGCGUGCCUUUUGUAGAAUGAACCGGCGAGUUACGAUUUGAUGCAAGGUUAAGCAGUAAAUGUGGAGCCGUAGCGAAAGCGAGUCUGAAUAGGGCGUUUAGUAUUUGGUCGUAGACCCGAAACCAGGUGAUCUACCCUUGGUCAGGUUGAAGUUCAGGUAACACUGAAUGGAGGACCGAACCGACUUACGUUGAAAAGUGAGCGGAUGAACUGAGGGUAGCGGAGAAAUUCCAAUCGAACCUGGAGAUAGCUGGUUCUCUCCGAAAUAGCUUUAGGGCUAGCCUCAAGUGAUGAUUAUUGGAGGUAGAGCACUGUUUGGACGAGGGGCCCCUCUCGGGUUACCGAAUUCAGACAAACUCCGAAUGCCAAUUAAUUUAACUUGGGAGUCAGAACAUGGGUGAUAAGGUCCGUGUUCGAAAGGGAAACAGCCCAGACCACCAGCUAAGGUCCCAAAAUAUAUGUUAAGUGGAAAAGGAUGUGGCGUUGCCCAGACAACUAGGAUGUUGGCUUAGAAGCAGCCAUCAUUUAAAGAGUGCGUAAUAGCUCACUAGUCGAGUGACACUGCGCCGAAAAUGUACCGGGGCUAAACAUAUUACCGAAGCUGUGGAUUGUCCUUUGGACAAUGGUAGGAGAGCGUUCUAAGGGCGUUGAAGCAUGAUCGUAAGGACAUGUGGAGCGCUUAGAAGUGAGAAUGCCGGUGUGAGUAGCGAAAGACGGGUGAGAAUCCCGUCCACCGAUUGACUAAGGUUUCCAGAGGAAGGCUCGUCCGCUCUGGGUUAGUCGGGUCCUAAGCUGAGGCCGACAGGCGUAGGCGAUGGAUAACAGGUUGAUAUUCCUGUACCACCUAUAAUCGUUUUAAUCGAUGGGGGGACGCAGUAGGAUAGGCGAAGCGUACGAUUGGAUUGCACGUCUAAGCAGUAAGGCUGAGUAUUAGGCAAAUCCGGUACUCGUUAAGGCUGAGCUGUGAUGGGGAGAAGACAUUGUGUCUUCGAGUCGUUGAUUUCACACUGCCGAGAAAAGCCUCUAGAUAGAAAAUAGGUGCCCGUACCGCAAACCGACACAGGUAGUCAAGAUGAGAAUUCUAAGGUGAGCGAGCGAACUCUCGUUAAGGAACUCGGCAAAAUGACCCCGUAACUUCGGGAGAAGGGGUGCUCUUUAGGGUUAACGCCCAGAAGAGCCGCAGUGAAUAGGCCCAAGCGACUGUUUAUCAAAAACACAGGUCUCUGCUAAACCGUAAGGUGAUGUAUAGGGGCUGACGCCUGCCCGGUGCUGGAAGGUUAAGAGGAGUGGUUAGCUUCUGCGAAGCUACGAAUCGAAGCCCCAGUAAACGGCGGCCGUAACUAUAACGGUCCUAAGGUAGCGAAAUUCCUUGUCGGGUAAGUUCCGACCCGCACGAAAGGCGUAACGAUUUGGGCACUGUCUCAACGAGAGACUCGGUGAAAUCAUAGUACCUGUGAAGAUGCAGGUUACCCGCGACAGGACGGAAAGACCCCGUGGAGCUUUACUGUAGCCUGAUAUUGAAAUUCGGCACAGCUUGUACAGGAUAGGUAGGAGCCUUUGAAACGUGAGCGCUAGCUUACGUGGAGGCGCUGGUGGGAUACUACCCUAGCUGUGUU